rnacentral:rRNA from 1 species
UCCUGGCUGUAAACGCUGCGGGCUUGGUGUUGGGGGUCCUUCGGGGGCACCCAGUGCCGUAGAGAAGUUGUUAAGCCCGCCACCUGGGGAGUACGGCCGCAAGGCUGAAACUUAAAGGAAUUGGCGGGGGAGCACUGCAACGGGAGGAGCGUGCGGUUUAAUUGGAUUCAACGCCGGACAACUCACCAGGGGCGACCACCGUAUGAGGCUCAGCCUGACGAGCUUAGCCGAUA